rnacentral:rRNA from 1 species
UACGGAGGGGGCGAGCGUUAUUCGGAAUUACUGGGCGUAAAGGGCGCGCAGGCGGUCCUUCAAGUCAGAUGUGAAAGCCCCGGGCUCAACCUGGGAACUGCAUUUGAGACUGGAGGACUUGAGGACGGGAGAGGAGAGUGGAAUUCCCAGUGUAGAGGUGAAAUUCGUAGAUAUCGGGAGGAACACCUGUGGCGAAAGCGGCGCACUGGACCACAACUGACGCUGAGGCGCGAAAGCUAGGGGAGCAAACAGG